UUUUCGCACUCUGGAGAGCGGCAGUAGCCGUCUGCAUCGUUCAAUCGAGCAGAUUGGCAGGCUGCCCACCGAAGGGGCGCGCGUUUCACCGUGGCGGACUCACGUUCUCACGGCAACGCAAUCUCUCAGGUAUCGAGGACAGAGGGGCCAUG
rnacentral:ncRNA from 2 species